CCAUGAGUUCGAAGCUGGCAGUAUUCUUGAGAAGACAAGGCUGCGGUGGCGCACCAGUUAGGAAGGACCUUGGCCAAUUUUUGUAUGGAUCAUCAUUGGAGGACUUCUACUUUGGAGUCUUAUAGAGAACACCAAUAUACCACUUCAUCCUUUUUGGUGAAAGUAAAAAUUCUAUCUCUUUUACAUGCUUGUUUUUUAUUUUAUCGAUAUCGGUAAGGUGAUUCUAGGGUUUGGAUUUUGGCUCGAUAGUUUUAUUUGAUAAAGAUAUUG
rnacentral:lncRNA from 1 species